GAGUUCCAGAACUGUGACAUGGCUUCAGGUUAUUUCCAUUAUGUUAAACUCACAGCUCUGGAUUCUCUGCAUCAGAACUAAAGCUGUGUGUCUUACAGUAUGUGGAAAUCCUCCCGUGAUUUGUUGUAUUAUACAACUAUGGGACAACAGAGAAGUUGGAAAGAUGGCUACGGGGUUAAGAAUACCUGCUAUUCCUGAGGACCAGAGUUAAGUUCUCAGCAACCCCAUCAUCAGGCAGCUACCAAUGGAGUGUAACUCUGGGUCUAAGGACACAACGCCCUCUUCUGGAGUCGGUGGGUAUUUGCGCUCACGUGCGCAGACAAGAUAAUACAAACACAUCAUGUAAAUAAUUUUCCAAAACAAUCAUUUUUUUUUCUAAAACUUGCAAAGGAUGCUAGUAGGUCCACGCAGCCUUAUUCAGCCGACCUAUACAAGCCUUGACUGAGGGAGCAGGACUCCGCAGGCCUCGGGAGGAUGGAACAGGACCGGGGGUCUCGUGGAUGGCAAGAGCUGGCUUCCUGUUCUCUCUGGAGCCCAAUGAGGAGCCAACUACCUUAGUCAUGGUGUUUGAGCACACUAAUACCACCCUCCUCUCUGUAGACGGGACUCUAGGAUCCACUGGAUGGGAAUCUGUCGCGUUUCUGGACAACAGGACAAUUCAUUUCAAGCCAUGUCUCAGUCCCCAAGGACCUAGCUGACCUUAGAAGCAGCAAAAUAUUAUCCUUUUUAAAUUCCUCUAACCACAUUAAUACUGACCUUUGUACAUGAUUAUUGAAAACCCAGGAGAUCAGUUACACUUAUCCAUUUGUCUGGUCUUGACUUUUUUUGUUGUUCUUUAAAGACACGGUUGCUGGGCAGUGGGAAGGUUGUCCUUUGAUCCCAGCAUUCAAGAGUCAGAGGCAGAUAGAUCUUUGCAUUUGAGGCCAGCCUGGUCUGCAGAAUG
rnacentral:lncRNA from 1 species